rnacentral:rRNA from 1 species
CGGAACGUGUCCUGUAGUGGGGGAUAGCCCGGCGAAAGCCGGAUUAAUACCGCAUACGCUCUACGGAGGAAAGGGGGGGAUCUUAGGACCUCCCGCUACAGGGGCGGCCGAUGGCAGAUUAGCUAGUUGGUGGGGUAAAGGCCUACCAAGGCGACGAUCUGUAGCUGGUCUGAGAGGACGACCAGCCACACUGGGACUGAGACACGGCCCAGACUCCUACGGGAGGCAGCAGUGGGGAAUUUUGGACAAUGGGGGCAACCCUGAUCCAGCAAUGCCGCGUGUGUGAAGAAGGCCUUCGGGUUGUAAAGCACUUUUGUCCGGAAAGAAAACGCCGUGGUUAAUACCCGUGGCGGAUGACGGUACCGGAAGAAUAAGCACCGGCUAACUACGUGCCAGCAGCCGCGGUAAUAC